rnacentral:rRNA from 1 species
CCUACGGGUGACAGCAGUGAGGAAUAUUGGUCAAUGGGCGAGAGCCUGAACCAGCCAAGUCGCGUGAGGGAGUACUGCCCUAUGGGUUGUAAACCUCUUUUGUCGGGGAGCAAAAGCCGGACGUGUCCGGCUGUGAGAGUACCCGACGAAAAAGCAUCGGCUAACUCUGUGCCAGCAGCCGCGGUAAUACGGAGGAUGCGAGCGUUAUCCGGAUUUAUUGGGUUUAAAGGGUGCGCAGGCGGAUUUUUAAGUCAGCGGUAAAAUCGUGGGGCUCAACCCCAUCCAGCCGUUGAAACUGGGGAUCUAGAGUGUGCGAGAGGUAUGCGGAAUGCGUGGUGUAGCGGUGAAAUGCAUAGAUAUCACGCAGAACCCCGAUUGCGAAGGCAGCAUACCGGUGCACAACUGACGCUCAGGCACGAAAGCGUGGGUAUCGAACAGGAUUAGAUACCCUGGUAGUC